GUGCCUAAUACAUGCAAGUCGAACGGUCUUUCUAUGGAAGCUUGCUUCCACUGAGAAGAUAGUGGCGAACGGGUGAGUAACACGUGGGUAACCUGCCCAUAAGAGGGGGGAUAACAUCCGGAAACGGGUGCUAAUACCGCAUAGUUUUCUUGAUCGCAUGAUCGGGAAAGGAAAGACGGCCUUUGUGCUGUCGCUUAUGGAUGGACCCGCGGCGUAUUAGUUAGUUGGUGAGGUAACGGCUCACCAAGACGAUGAUACGUAGCCGACCUGAGAGGGUGAUCGGCCACAUUGGGACUGAGACACGGCCCAAACUCCUACGGGAGGCAGCAGUAGGGAAUCUUCCGCAAUGGACGAAAGUCUGACGGAGCAACGCCGCGUGAGUGAAGAAAGGUUUUCGGAUCGUAAAACUCUGUUGUCAGAGAAGAACAAGUUGGAGAGUAACUGCUCCAGCCUUGACGGUAUCUGACCAGAAAGCCACGGCUAACUACGUGCCAGCCGCAGC
rnacentral:rRNA from 1 species